rnacentral:rRNA from 1 species
UACGUAGGGUGCGAGCGUUGUCCGGAAUUAUUGGGCGUAAAGGGCUCGUAGGCGGUUUGUCGCGUCGGGGAGUGAAAGCCCCCCGGCUCAACUGGGGAGGGUCAUUCGAUACUGAUCGACUCGAAGGCAGGAGAGGGAAGCGGAAUUCCCGGUGUAGUGGUGAAAUGCGUAGAUAUCGGGAGGAACACCAGUGGCGAAGGCGGCUUCCUGGCCUGUUCUUGACGCUGAGGCGCGAAAGCUAGGGGAGCAAACGGG